rnacentral:rRNA from 1 species
UACGUAGGGGGCAAGCGUUGUCCGGAAUCAUUGGGCGUAAAGAGCUCGUAGGCGGUCUGUCGCGUCUGCUGUGAAAACUCGGGGCUUAACCCCGGGCCUGCAGUGGGUACGGGCAGACUAGAGUGCGGUAGGGGAGACUGGAAUUCCUGGUGUAGCGGUGAAAUGCGCAGAUAUCAGGAGGAACACCGGUGGCGAAGGCGGGUCUCUGGGCCGAUACUGACGCUGAGGAGCGAAAGCGUGGGGAGCGAACAGG